rnacentral:rRNA from 1 species
UGGGGAAUAUUGCACAAUGGACGGAAGUUUGAUGCAGCGACGCCGCGUGGAGGGUGUAGGCCUUCGGGUUGUGAACUCCUUUUUCUCGCGAAAAAGGCACAGUUUUGGCUGUGUCGAUGGUAGUGGGGGAAGAAGCGCCGGCUAACUACGUGCCAGCAGCCGCGGUAAUACGUAGGGCGCGAGCGUUGUCCGGAUUUAUUGGGCGUAAAGAGCUCGUAGGUGGUUCGUCGCGUCUGUCGUGGAAGCCAGCAGCUUAACUGUUGGUCUGCGGUGGGUACGGGCGGGCUUGAGUGCGGUAGGGGUGACUGGAAUUCCUGGUGUAGCGGUGGAAUGCGCAGAUAUCAGGAGGAACACCGAUGGCGAAGGCAGGUCACUGGGCCGUUACUGACACUGAGGAGCGAAAGCGUGGGGAGCGAACAGG